rnacentral:rRNA from 1 species
UACGGAGGAUGCGAGCAUUAUCCGGAUUUAUUGGGUUUAAAGGGUGCGUAGGCGGAUCGUUAAGUCAGUGGUCAAAUUGAGGGGCUCAACCCCUUCCCGCCAUUGAAACUGGCGAUCUUGAGUGGAAGAGAAGUAUGCGGAAUGCGUGGUGUAGCGGUGAAAUGCAUAGAUAUCACGCAGAACCCCGAUUGCGAAGGCAGCAUGCCGGCUUCCUACUGACGCUGAAGCACGAAAGCGUGGGGAUCGAACAGG